CGCCGGCUCUGUUGUUGCAGCCCCUGCGUGACUGCGAUAAAGCGCGCCCGGCGUCGCGGAGCCACACGUCCCUCCUCAGGCCUGAGCGCGGCGAUGUAGGCCAGGGCAGAGCCCUGCCGUUACGGGAGAAACUUCUCCCAGGGCUACAUGGCGAGCCGGCCUGGGCCGCGGGGAUACUCAGAGCAGGGGAGGAAGUUACCCGCCUUGGGGUGGUUGGGGCCCCUUAGAGAGAUUUGCAUCUACAUUUGUACCUGCAAGAGGCCAUACACAGAACAGCAGCACAUCUCCUUUUCCAUGAAUAACCUAUGAGGUAUCAUAAGUAUUUUAAUGCAGGUCUAAAAUACACAUUUCCUUAGUUUGUGGGAAAAGCAGCACUAAAUGGAGAAGACAACAUUCAAAUCACCUUGGAGUAUGUAAUAUCUAAUACCAGCUGCAGUACAGAGAUUUAAUUGAUAACAGCAUCUAAUGGCUAAUGCUGGAAGUAUGUCACAAUGCUAUUAGUGCAUGGAAGAGAAAGUGAGAGGGAUAUUGAAAGGAGGACAAGAAAAAAAGGCAAAAGAAAGGUGAAAAGGUGAUGGCACUCAGAAGAGGAGAUGCCCCUGUUGAUUGUAAACAGCAAUAACAAUUAGCCCAUUACCUGCGGGUGCCCCUGCCAUUACUGUUAAAGCUGCCAUUGAUUUGGUACCGAUAUAAUGACUUCUUACAAGGAAACGAGCUAAAUCCAAAACGGAAUCAAAGGGCUGGCUGAGC